rnacentral:rRNA from 1 species
UUUUGGACAAUGGGGGCAACCCUGAUCCAGCCAUGCCGCGUGAGUGAAGAAGGCCUUCGGGUUGUAAAGCUCUUUCGGACGGAACGAAAUGGGCGGGACUAAUACUCCUGUCUGAUGACGGUACCGUAAGAAGAAGCACCGGCUAACUACGUGCCAGCAGCCGCGGUAAUACGUAGGGUGCGAGCGUUAAUCGGAAUUACUGGGCGAAAGCGUGCGCAGGCGGUUUCGUAAGCUGGAGGUAAAUCCCCGGGCUAACCUGGGAAUGGCCUUCAGACUGCAGGCAGGGUGCGGCAGGGGGGGGUGAAUUCCACGUGAGCAGUAAAUGCGAAGUGUGGGGAACACCAUGGGAGGAGCUCCUGGCCCGACUGCGUAGUACAA